GACUAAGUCUUCUCCCACUGCCCUGCUGAAGGGAGCUAGCAGUGAGGUGAUCCCAGAGCUGCUUUUUGAUGUGAGACUGAUUUUUACUCUACAAAUACAAGAGGAAAGAAGAGGAUAAGGACAAAACAAUGGAAAGGACCUGUUCACAAAAUAAGUAUGAAGAAAGCAAUGUUGAAUGUGUGGAUUGCAGACUGCUUGCUCCUGACUGAGAUGAAGAGGAACUGCAUCAUCAUUUCAACCUUCACCAUCCUUACCACCUACAGAGUAAAAAAUGAAAUCUUGUCAUGCAUGACAAGGAUAGAUUCACACUUACCUUUGUCUAUGAAAGAAAGACAAGAAAAGUAAGGUCGGGAAUGAGAAAGAAAGACUUUUCUAAUACAUUUUAAUUCCAGGCUUUAUGAAGAUCUAUAUAAGAUAUACUACUUCUCUGCAAGACAGAUGGCAACAGUGAGCAGCUUAUGCUUUUGGCCAGUGGAAGAAAUGGAGGCAAGCAAACAUCUCUUUAUUGUUAGUACUAGUGUUUAGCUUUUGAGCAUUCUGUCAGGGGAAGACAGACCCUAUCAGAUCAUAUCUACGAUUCAGAAUUCUUCAGUUUAUUUAUAGAUAUUCAUAUGAACAUGAGAUUAGAGAGAAGUCUCUGUACUGAAGAGUGUUAUUAGUGAUGAACUGAAGUCUGUUUAUGGUUGUGAACUGCUUUUGAAGUCCAGCCCUUGUAGUAUAAAACAAGAUUGUUUUCAAGAUUCUUUGCCUAUAUCACAUUAAUUGUACUGCCAAAUAUUCAUGAAAUACGUUAGCUGUUCUGUGACAUCGUUCUGUUGACAGCACAGAAUAUAUAUCUGUGCUGUGUUUGGAGUUUAACUGUGUCAUUCCAGGUUUUAGACCAGUAAGGGUAGCACAUCAAAAUGACUGUAGCUUUUUACAGUACUGUGAUCCUUGUCAGGAUAACCACAUUUAAUUGGCUCCCCAGAUUCAUUUACAGAUGUAAUUUGAGCAAAGCCUUGAAGAUUCCUGGACAUAUUGUUAAUAAAUCUUGGACAAUAAAUAUUUUAUUUGCU
rnacentral:lncRNA from 7 species